rfam:Schistocephalus solidus strain NST_G2 genome assembly, scaffold: SSLN_contig0021599
UGGCUCAACGGUAGAGCGUUCGACUCAAAUACCAAAGGUCACGGGUUCGAAUCCCAU